CACGGAUCCAGACUUUGAUCCUGGCUCAGAACGAACGCUGGCGGCGUGCCUAACACAUGCAAGUCGAACGGGAUUUGAGAGCUUGCUCUUAAAUUUAGUGGCGCACGGGUGAGUAACGCGUAGAUAAUCUGCCUGACGAUCUGGGAUAACACUUCGAAAGAGGUGCUAAUACCGGAUAAGCCCACGGGGUCUUUGGACUCUGCGGGAAAAGGGGGGGACCUUCGGGCCUUCUGUCGUCAGAUGAGUCUGCGUACCAUUAGCUAGUUGGUAGGGUAAUGGCCUACCAAGGCUACGAUGGUUAGCUGGUCUGAGAGGAUGAUCAGCCACACUGGAACUGAGACACGGUCCAGACUCCUACGGGAGGCAGCAGUGGGGAAUUUUGCGCAAUGGGCGAAAGCCUGACGCAGCAACGCCGCGUGAGUGAUGAAGGCUUUCGGGUCGUAAAGCUCUGUCGAGGGGAAAGAAGUGUAUUGGGGCUAAUACUCCGAUACUUGCGGUACCCCUCAAGGUGAGCACCGGCCAACUCCGUGCCAGCAGCCGCGGUAAUACGGGGGGUGCAAGCGUUGUUCGGAAUUAUUGGGCGUAAAGCGCGUGUAGGCGGUCUGAUUAGUCUGAUGUGAAAGCCCUGGGCUCAACCCAGGAAGUGCAUUGGAUACUGUCAGACUUGAAUACGGGAGAGGGUAGUGGAAUUCCUAGUGUAGGAGUGAAAUCCGUAGAUAUUAGGAGGAACACCGGUGGCGAAGGCGGCUACCUGGACCGAUAUUGACGCUGAGACGCGAAAGCGUGGGUAGCAAACAGGAUUAGAUACCCUGGUAGUCCACGCCGUAAACGAUGUCAACUGGUUGUUGGGUCUUCACUGACUCAGUAACGAAGCUAACGCGUGAAGUUGACCGCCUGGGGAGUCGGCCGUCAGGGUUGAAACUCAAAGGAAUUGACGGGGGCCCGCACAAGCGGUGAUGAUGUGGUUUAAUUACGAUGCAACGCGAAAAACCUUACCCACCUUUGACAUGUACGGAAGUCGCUAGAGAUAGCUUCGUGCUCGAAAGAGAGCCGUAACACAGGUGCUGCAUGGCUGUCGUCAGCUCGUGUCGUGAGAUGUUGGGUUAAGUCCCGCAACGAGCGCAACCCUUGUCAUUAGUUGCUACAUUUAGUUGGGCACUCUAAUGAGACUGCCGGUGACAAACCGGAGGAAGGUGGGGAUGACGUCAAGUCCUCAUGGCCCUUAUAGGUGGGGCUACACACGUCAUACAAUGGCUGGUACAAAGGGUUGCCAACCCGCGAGGGGGAGCUAAUCCCACAAAGCCAGUCGUAGUCCGGAUCGUAGUCUGCAACUCGACUACGUGAAGUCGGAAUCGCUAGUAAUCGUGGAUCAGAAUGUCACGGUGAAUACGUUCCCGGGUCUUGUACACACCGAAUCACU
rnacentral:rRNA from 1 species